rnacentral:rRNA from 1 species
AUUGAACGCUGGCGGCAGGCCUAACACAUGCAAGUCGAGCGAGAGGCGGACGGGUGAGUAAUGUCUGGGAAACUGCCUGAUGGAGGGGGCUCACUACUGGAAACGGUAGCUAAUACCGCAUACCAUCAGAUCUGCCCAGAUGGGAUUAGCUAGUAGGUGGGGUAACGGCUCACCUAGGCGACGCUCCCUAGCUGGUCUGAGAGGAUGACCAGCCACACUGGAAAUGAGGCACGGUCCAGACUCCUACGGGAGGCAGCAGGGGGGAAUAUUGCACAAUGGGCGCAAGCCUGAUGCAGCCAUGCCGGGUGUGUGAAGAAGGCCUUCGGGUUGUAAAGCACUUUCAGCGGGGAGGCGUUACCCGCAGAAGAAGCACCGGCUAACUCCGUGCCAGCAGCCGCGGUAAUUC